CAAAAAUGAGCUUUGAAAAACAAGCUUCUUUUCUCCAAAACACCGAUGAAUAGUGUUCAUUAAAUGAAACUUCCAAAUUCCCAAACCUACCCUCACCCAUCUCUUCGUUGUUCUCUCUCACCCACUCCCUUUGUCCAGCUCUUUCUCUUUCCGUUCGAGCUCGAUCUCUCCCUCUCAUCUGGUUUGAGCACUCUUCAUCAAUAAAAAGGUAAUCUAGGUUUCAGAGUGACGAGGCCGGCGAUGAUGGACUUCUUCAACGACACGGAAGACUAGGGCUCCACCAUGGACAUGGACAUUGACGACGUCAACCCACUCGAGGCGUCCCGCAAGGGCGUCAUAAGUGAAAGGAAGCUCGUCGAUCAAUACAGUACAACACGAAGCUUUUUAACACGUAGUUGUUUCUUAAUAUCAUAUUGCAAUAGCAUAAACAAUUGGUCUAGCACACUUGCUUUUUUGAAAUUAUGGAACAGAACAUGAACAUUAAAAGAACAGACGAUAACAAGAAGAGCCUGAAAUA